rnacentral:misc_RNA from 1 species
GGAGGACCAACCUGUAAUUGCUUCUGCAAAUUUCACUUCACUUCUCAUUCCUCCAUAUCCAUGGAAGCCUCCACCGGACCUCCAUGUAUUCCCUCUCCCUCACCGGCAAUAGACAUCGGAAAGUUAAAGCAAAACCUCCUGCAAAAAGGUGUCGACCCAACUCCGAAAAUUAUCCACACUCUCCGCAUAAAAGAACUUCAAAAAUUCAACAGACGCCUCGCAAAAAAAGCCGCUAAAGAAC